AUUGAACGCUGGCGGCAGGCCUAACACAUGCAAGUCGAGCGGAUGAAGGGAGAUUGCUCCUGGAUUCAGCGGCGGACGGGUGAGUAAUGCCUAGGAAUCUGCCUGGUAGUGGGGGAUAACGUCCGGAAACGGGAGCUAAUACCGCAUACGUUCUGAGGGAGAAAGUGGGGGAUCUUCGGACCUCACGCUAUCAGAUGAGCCUAGGUCGGAUUAGCUAGUUGGUGGGGUAAAGGCCUACCAAGGCGACGAUCCGUAACUGGUCUGAGAGGAUGAGCAGUCACACUGGAACUGAGACACGGUCCAGACUCCUACGGGAGGCAGCAGUGGGGAAUAUUGGACAAUGGGCGAAAGCCUGAUCCAGCCAUGCCGCGUGUGUGAAGAAGGUCUUCGGAUUGUAAAGCACUUUAAGUUGGGAGGAAGGGCAGUAAGUUAAUACCUUGCUGUUUUGACGUUACCAACAGAAUAAGCACCGGCUAACUUCGUG
rnacentral:rRNA from 1 species